rnacentral:tRNA from 1 species
AGCCUUGUUGGCGCAAUCGGUAGCGCGUAUGACUCUUAAUCAUAAGGCUGUGUCUGAGCCUCUACAGGCUU